rnacentral:rRNA from 1 species
GGUCUUUUGUUUAUAUAAAAGAUCUGGCCUGCCCGAUGUUGAUUGAAUGGCUGCAGUAUUUUGACUGUACAAAGGUAGCAUAAUCAUUUGUCUCUUAAUUAGAGUCUGGAAUGAAUGGUUGGAUGAAAGAUUUUCUUUCUUUAUUUUAUAAAAAAAAAUUAAUUUUUAAAUCAAAAAGUUUAAAUGAUUGUAAAGGACGAGAAGACCCUAUAGAACUUUAUUCCUCAUUAAGUAAUUAUUUACUUGUAAAUAAUUUUUCUUUAAUUUAAUGAGGAAUUUUGUUGGGGUGACAAAAAAAAUUUUAUAACUUUUUUUAUUUUUAACAUUUGUUUAUGUAUUAUUGAUCCUUUAUUAUGGAAAAUAAGAUUAAGUUACCUUAGGGAUAACAGCGUUAUUAUUUUAGAGAGUUCAUAUCGAUAAAAUAGUUUGCGACCUCGAUGUUGGAUUAAAAUUAGUUUCAGGAGCAGAAGAUUGAUUGACUGGGUCUGUUCGACCCUUAAAUUUUUACA